UCGCCGUUGCUACUGGGCAACGCGCCCACGC
rnacentral:sRNA from 1 species